rnacentral:lncRNA from 1 species
UGCCAAUUAUAAGCGUAAAACGAUCUUGGGACCUUUCUGGACCCUUAUUAGGUCUAACCAGUCAUGAAAACCAAGCAUUCGGCUACAGUUAUGGUCCACUUUGAACAUUAGAAGCACAACGAUAUUCCAAUGUUCAAAUAUAUAUGUCUACUAUAUAUAUUCUAUACAAAUUAUAGGUACGGAACAUGGCUGCCGACUGUUAUACAAGGCUUACGCGUCUACACUUACUUUCAUCUUGCUCCGCGACCUUAUCCUUCUCAUUGACAGAAAAUGUUAUACUAUAAAGUAGUUGCAUCAGAACCAACAAUAAACUAGAAUCAUUUUAUUACAACAA